ACGUAGGUGGCGAGCGUUAUCCGGAAUUAUUGGGCGUAAAGAGGGAGCAGGCGGCACUAAGGGUCUGUGGUGAAAGAUCGAAGCUUAACUUCGGUAAGCCAUGGAAACCGUAGAGCUAGAGUGUGUGAGAGGAUCGUGGAAUUCCAUGUGUAGCGGUGAAAUGCGUAGAUAUAUGGAGGAACACCAGUGGCGAAGGCGACGAUCUGGCGCAUAACUGACGCUCAGUCCCGAAAGCGUGGGGAGCAAAUAG
rnacentral:rRNA from 1 species